UUUAUGGAGAGUUUGAUCCUGGCUCAGGAUGAACGCUGGCGGCGUGCCUAAUACAUGCAAGUCGAGCGAACAGAUAAGGAGCUUGCUCCUUUGACGUUAGCGGCGGACGGGUGAGUAACACGUGGGUAACCUACCUAUAAGACUGGAAUAACUCCGGGAAACCGGG
rnacentral:rRNA from 1 species